rnacentral:rRNA from 1 species
UACGUAGGGCGCAAGCGUUGUCCGGAAUUAUUGGGCGUAAAGAGCUCGUAGGCGGUCUGUCGCGUCCGUUGUGAAAACUCGAGGCUCAAACCUCGGGCUUGCAGUGGAUACGGGCAGACUAGAGUGCGGUAGGGGAGACUGGAAUUCCUGGUGUAGCGGUGGAAUGCGCAGAUAUCAGGAGGAACACCGAUGGCGAAGGCAGGUCUCUGGGCC